UCAUCUUCUUCAUUCAAAACCUUCCUUUCUUCUUCUUUUUUCAUUCUCUCACACACCAUUUUUGGCUCCAAUUUCUCUAUUCAUUCCAAGCUCAUGUGAUGUGCAACUGUGAUCCAUGCUUGUGUAUCAUACAAUUCAGUCCAUGGAUUCUAGUUUCAUCUACAAUUUUCAAAAGGAAAAAAAAAAAAAAACAUUGUUUUAGGAUGUCUUUUUUUCUCUCAUCUCUUUCAGAAAAAACAUUGUUCUAGGUUACGUUUGUUGGUGUUCUUGAGCUGGGGAUUUGUGUUCUGAGAUUAUUUGAUACACUAGCACGGGUCACUGUUGUAUGUCACGUCAAAAACAUUGCAGUGCUACCAUGAAAUGCAGCAGAAGAAUAUGCAAGAUUUUGCAGAAAAAGGAAAAGGGAGUUCUGAAGAACAAGGUGUGAAAAAGAAGCUACCACAUAUGUAUACAAAUAAAAAAAAGGUUUGUUUUGGAACUUAUUUAGGGUGAUUUAGUUUUUAUAUGCUUCUGGGACCAAGAAAAAAAACCCCUGUGGAAAAGUUAAAAAGUUGAUUCUAGUAAAAUGCUAGAAAAAUGAUGUUUCUCCGACAGAGGUUGUUUGUUUUUUACAAAACAUCAAUGUUACAGGUUUUUUAAAUAAAAGAUUUUUUUAACAGUAUUUUUUUAAUAAUUUUUUUGACAAUGACAUUUUGUUAUUAGUCUGUUUUUAAGUAUUUUUUUUAAAUAUAAUUUUAAAUAGAUUAAUAAAAUGAUUAUACAUGUUUUAUUAUUAAAAAAUUGUUAAAAAUAAUUAUCAUAUCAUAAUCCUUUUUAAAUUAAUAUAUUAUUUCAAAUUUUUUAAGUUUGAUAUAGAAGGUGCUGAUUGAAAAGAGAAAGAGAAUGAAAUAAUGUUUUUAAUUUUACUAAUUUUUAAAUUAUGUGAAUGGAAUUUGAGGGGAAGUAUUUUUUAAAUUUGCAUGAUAAUAGUAUAAAAUUUUAUCCUUCAAUAACAUUGUAACUAUUAUUCCAAAAAAAAAAAAUCUAUGUUUUAGCACUUGUAAUGGUUUUAUGUUAUAAUUUUUUUAUAAAGACAAUAUAUAUAUGAUUAUUAAUUUUAUAUUUCUCUAAUUAUGUAUCAUAGUUUGAACAAUUUCAAUGGUCCUAAAAACACAGUGAUGGAUAAGAUAACUUAUCCAUAGAACUCAAUAAAAAGUUAAAUUCUCAUGUAUCAUGCAUCUUUAUUUUAUUAUUAUUUUAUUUAUGUAUGUAUGUUCACUGUUGCACAAUACAUCCAAUCAUAAGUUAUAAGCUUAUCCAAAUAUUAUUGGUAAGGAUCAUUUUUAGAAUAUUUUACCAAUCUCAUGUAAUUUAGAAAGAAAUUAUUAAAAUGGAUAAAUUUUUUUAAAAAAGGAAGGAGGUGGAAAUUUAUAUCUUAAUGAUUUAAGAAAAAGUAAAAUCAGGCAUUAUGUCAAUGAAUGAAAUGUACCUUAACACUGAAAUUUUCAAAAUUGUUUAAAUUGACAAAUUAAAAAUUAGUGUUGUUUAUUUUAUUAAUUAUAAUUAAAUGGAAAAAAAUGAAUGAUACUCUACUCAGAAUGAUAAAUUCAUCAUAAUGUUAUUUAUUUAUACUAAUUAUAAUAAUUUUAAAAACUAAAUAAUUAUUUAAUUUUUAUAAUUAAUUAUAACGGAUACCCAAAUUUAUUAGAUUUCAAUAAUAAUGAAUUAUAAUUAAAUUCGUGUUAAUGAUUUCCGUAUAACUUUGUGAAAAUUUUUAAAAGUUUAUUCCGAAAAAAUUGACCUAUUUAGUAAUUUUUUGAGUUUAUUAGAGUUUUGAGUUUAUAUUUAUUAUGUUAUAUUGUUUUUCAUUAAUAUGACUAACCAAAAAUACUAUCUAAAUCUAUGUGCAUUGGCAUUAACUUAAAAUAAUUAAAGAAAAAUAUGGUUGUAGAUGAAGGUAAUAUUAUUAAAAAUGUCGUUAGAAAUGAAUGUUGAGUUCAUUCGAAUAACACCUUAUGCUAUUAUAAUAAUAAAAAAAAUAUCAAAUAACCAAAAUGAAGAAAUUUAAAUAAUUGAUUAGUCAUUUAAAAAAGUUAUUUUAGUUGUUUUAUAUAUGGUAGUUACUUCUUUAAGAAAAUAUAAUUGAGCAUUUAAAAUGAUAUUAAUGUAUUUUUAGAUUGUUUGAUAAAUAAGUUAAAGUUAUUAGAAGAUAACAAGUUAAGAGAAUAUCCUUCUGAUGUUUUAGUCCACUUCUUUUCAUAAUAAUUUAUUAAAAUAUCCUUUUAAUGACUCUCAUGCUUUAUAGAGUUAUUGUUUUUGGAUAAAGUUAUAUCCAUAUGACAUGAUAAAUUCCUAUACCAUCAACGGGAGAUAAUACAUUUCAUACUACUUUUUUAGAAUAAGGAAACUUCUUUAACUCUCACCAUCUAAACAUCAUUCUCUAUAUCAAUUUGAGUGUUUCGUAAAGUUAGGAUGACAUCACAUCAAAAUUCCUACUUAAAUAGAUACAUUAACAUUAUAAAAUAUGACAAAUCUACUUAGAGAUUACCAUAUUCAUACAUAUAAUUCAUAUAAAGUAGUAAAAAGAUAAUCCAAAUACAUUUUUGGCAUAAAAUGGCCCUGGUUUUACUCACCCCAUAAUUAGUAGAUUUAUGGAAUAAAACAGUCCUAAAUUUCUCAACUUCACCCUUGAACUACACUACUAAAAUCCAUUUCAUGUUCUUAACUUUGUUUCUUGCCUAGCCAUCAUGUGAUUUGCACGGCGAUCCUUAGUUUUUUAUUCAUUCAAACUCAUACUCGUUCUGUGAAUCUUUUUCUUACUCAACGAGACACCCCUAGAGGUAUACUCGUCUAAUAAAGUAUUGGUUCAUCCAAUGACUCGUUCCCUCGUUAUAACCCAUUACUUUUUUCAUUUUGAAAUAUUCAUCUAGUGAAUGAUAGAGUCACCUAGCAAAUCAAGCAUUUGAGCUAGUUCCUUACAAAUUUUCCCAAAAAGACCUAGGCUCACCUAAUGACCGAGUCACCCUAAGGGAGGACUUUCUUCUUCCUAUUCCUUCUAGUUCACCUCGUGACGUAGGGAGAAAUUUCUCCUUUCUUCUUCUUUGGGGCUGGGUUUCACGGGAGGGAGGCGAGCUCCGACGGCAACGGUGUUGCGUUGGCGCUAUGAUGAUGUGACGAUGGUGCGUCCUCCCUUCUCAUUUCGUAGUGAGUGUUGUAACGAUGAGAUUGAUUUCCUUGCGACAUCGUGACAAGGGUUUUGAUUUGGGUUUCUUGAAUCUUCUCUGCAGAUUUUUUAUCUUGCAUUUGGGUUUAGGUUUUCGAAUUCAGAUUUGGGUUUUCGAUUCGCAUUUUGGUUCUGUUUAUCACGAUUUAGGGUUCUCAAUGGUGGUUGAUGGUGGUGGCAUCAAUGGAGACGUUGGUGGUUACGACCAUGGGUCACGGUGACUGGGGAUGGCAGCGACACCUCUGAAGAAGAAAAGAAAAAAAUAAUCUUGUCUAAACCAACACCAAAAGAAGUCGAGCAGAAGGUAGAAGCACCAUUGAGAACAAUCUCUAAGUCACCAGAAACAUCUUUUUAACCAGCAAGGAUGCCAACUCAGCCUGCAGAAAUCGUGAUGCAUACUUCACGAUUGUAUCAAUGUUAGCUGAGAAUGAACUCUGAUUUUUCAAAAUCGAAUCUCCAAUCUGUGCAAUUAUUCCCAAUUUUUAUGAACCCCUACAAUUUCAUAACGAAACUCUCCCAAACCCAAUCCUUAAUUUGAACAAUUUAAAUUCCUAAUUCAUUUCCAAUAUUUCAUUUAUUUUUUUCAAUUUCUUUUUUUAAAAAGAAAAUAAAAUAUCCACAUCAUAAUCACAUAAAUCAAGUAAUAAAGUUCACCUCAAUUACACAUAGUUCACCGUGUCACGUCAACCAUAGACUAACAUUGUUAGGUUCAAUUUAACAACAAGGGUCUAAUGGUUACAAUUUUCACAAAAUAAGGAUCCAAUUGAGACACCGAACAAGUAGGAAAUUUAUUUGAGAUUCUGGACAAAAAUAAAGACCUACCAAAACAUUAAACCAUUUUUAAAUUGAUACAGAUGCAUAUUGAAAUUAUAGAGGCGCAAGGAAAAAAUGACCUUAACUUGGAGGGUAAUAUAUGAAGGCCCAAAUUUCUCAAAUUUUUUAAAGGCCCAAAAGCUAGUAACCCAUUGCAAGAGACAGAGACGGUGUACAACAUUUUGGGUGUUGUUCCCUACACCUCCCAAUUUGCUCCCUCUACCUCCUCAACCUUCUGAUUUUUCUUUUUAAUUAUAAAAAUAAUCUUGUUUUACUUUUUUAACCUUUUUAUUUUUUUAGUUUUAAUUUUAUUUACCCUCGUCUCUACUCUACUCAAAACCAACCCCCUCUAAGCUUUUGAGAUCCGCAAAUCCGCAUAUUCGUUUUUCUGCUCCCACCUCUGUCACAUCUUGGGUUGUAGGAAGGUACAUGUUCACUGGACAAUUAUGGUUAGAGAAUUUGUUAUGGAAAUUCCUACAUGAAAAUGUAUUGGUCGUAGGAAGGUACAUGUGUCAGCCAUGGUGUCUCUUUAAGCUUGACAAUACUUGAUCGUAGAACCUUAUGAUGAUCGUGUCUACUGUGAAAUUUUCUCAAUUAGUAUUUCGGUUCCUGAAUUUGUUUAUUGAUCUUAUGGUGUUGGGUCUUUAAUCUUUUAUCCAAUUUUUUUAAAUGAAUGGGGUCUUGGUCCUUCAUCUUCUACCUAAUCUUGACAGUUGGUUGUUGAUUUUGACUAUGCUCUUCGACUCAUUUUGCAGUGAAGAUGUCUAAAGGAUCUGGAUGUAGUGGGUUUAGAUUAUUUAACUUACUACAAAACUUCAUGUUUUAUUAUGUUCUCAUUUACUAUUUUUUUUGUCUGCUUGAGUUGGAAGGACUUUAGUUUAUCGGUUGUUGAAAGUUACAUGUUCCGACCAUGGUGCAAGAUCAAUAAUGUUGAACAUUAUGAUCAUCAAGCCUGUUUUGGAAAUUUCUCCUUUAGAAUUCUAAUUCCUGAAUUUGUGUUUUAUCUCACGAACAGAAACAUCACAAAGGUUGCUUGCAAUGAUUUUACAGACAGGAAUCGUCCUGAAGAAAUAACUCUAAUUAGAUGAUCACGAUAUCUGGUUUUGGGCAUUUCACCGAUGACUCCAUUGAUGAAGCAAUGACGC
rnacentral:lncRNA from 1 species